GCAGAUUCAUCUCUAACUCCCAAAGCCCCAGGUAACUCCUUUAAAGCUCAGAACCACUCUAGGAGGCAGGGGCUGUGUUGAUGCCCAUUCUACAGAUAGAGAAACUGAGGCUUGGAGCCCAGAAAAGGAUCAGGAGGAAUCCAAUAAACAGAAGAGGUUGGGGAAGGAGGAAUUGAGGGAUUGAGGUCCUCAGGGCCCUGGGCAGGGUUCCUUUGUGCCCCAUCCCCUCUGCAUGGGCUGAGCUGGGUUCUCUACUCCCACCGUGAGGCUACAGGGCCCAGCUGCCUCCAUCUGGGGCCUUGGAAGUUGCCCAAACAGAAGCCGGGAGAGAAGCUGCUGUUCUGGUUUGAGUUCCUUCUGGUUUGCAUUCUCUGGGCUGAGCCCUAAGUAGUCAGUUUCCUGCAUUGAGAUCCUGGGGUGGGGGGUGGUGGGGCAGUCACCCCUUCUUUAGGCUUCCUCCUAAGGACCCCGAGACAAUUCCCCAGACCCACUAGUGUCUUACCAGAAUUUAAUAAUCAUCAUAAUUU
rnacentral:lncRNA from 1 species